CUUGCAGAAACCCAUAUAUUUUCCAGCACUCCAUCCUCACUGUCAAAACUGUCAAGAACAUAAAGGGUCUGAGAUUGUGCCCUACUUGCAAGGCAACAAGUUAACCUGGCAUAGUUUCAUGUAUGCUGGUAGAAGCUAUGAGGCUCCUGAUUCAGAGCAGAAUAUCCCCAAGCAUGAUACAUAAAGAACCCUGCUGGAUGAUCCAUUAGAGAGUCAAGUAAUAAUUAAGAGAUCAACCUUUGGACAAGAGCAUCAUAUUAUGGUGCCCCCUGGACUUCAUGAAAGGUGGAAAGACACUCUGGAGAAGGACAUUGGGACAGUGAGAUUUUUUUCAGUAGAGAAAGCAGGAGGGAGAGCAGGAGGAAGAAGGGAGCUUGUAUGUGCAGGCUUUACAGCUGGUGACUGGAAAGCUGCUGUCGUGGUGGAUUGGAUCUGGAUAUGGGAGAAAGCCCACGGUGGGGAUCAGGUUGAUGUGUGCCUGCCGGAGGCCUAGGUGGAGGUGGCUAUGACUGAGGUGAAAUCACCCAAUGAAAAUAAGUCAGUGACCUACCUUAGGGUGUGUCUUCAUCCAUUAUAAUUUUGGUUAUUAUUGAAUUUUGCUAGGGGAAGAAUUAUAUAUGACAUAUUUUGUUAUUCCCAAUGCGUAGCACAUAGCUCUUGAAUACUGUAUAUAGCCAAGUAUAUCUUUCUUGAAUUCUUAGAUAUUUCUUCCAUCCAGUAGGAAAAUGCUUGAGGAACAUUUGUUUUAGAGAUAGAGUUGGGUUGGGCUUAUGCUAUGCUUGUUUUAGGUUGUAUGUGUAUUGUACAGUAGUGGUAGUUGUAGUAGUAGUAGAAGACAUAUGAAACAAAAUAAAAAAGGAAGGAGAAAGAAAAGGAUUUGUUAUGUGUCUCACAAAAAUAUUUUCUCCUAAUUUUAAGAUUGAUAAAUAUAUAAACAUACUCUCUAGUUCAAAAGAUAGAAUCUAGUGUUUUGUUCAUUGUUUAGUUCAAAAGUCUAUAUCUUAAAGGAAAUUAAUCAUCUAAUUUCUCAUUCUCUAAUACCUCUGAAGCACUUAUUCUUUGUUGAAUAGAAUGCCUGUUGAAUCUUUUCACUGAAUAUUAAUCCUUCUUAAAAUUGGAAUUGACUUUUGAUUAAGAGUCAUCUAACUGGAAUACCUAAGAAGUCAUAACUUUGAUGGGCUUUAAAUAUAGCCAGACUUUCUCUGAGAAAUGUAUUACAUUUCAUAUGAUGAGACAUUAUUUCAGGAAUAACUUAAUGAACCUUAAAUUAGAUAUUUUUAAUCAUCCUUUAUGUAGGACAGGAUUUGUGUCUAACUUAUCUGAGGGAGUCUACAGAAUCACUGGAGAUAAAAGCCGUUUUCAUUUUGACAGGUUGUUUAGGGAUUCUGUCAAUGCAAAGAAUUUCACCAGAAUUGAUUUCUUUAUGCAUAAAGAACUGUAAUUUAAUACCAAAAAGUCAUAGAAAGAAACAGAUAUACACAUAGCUUUCUCUCACCCAACGAUAGAACAUUUGUAAAAGGUAUGUGAUGUAAGAAAAGCAUGCACUUCUUUGAUAAACAUUUCCAUCAAUAUGAGGUUAGUUGGAUAACUAAUUACAAAUAUCAAAAACAAUUACAAUAUCAAAAACAUUAUGGUCUUACACAUUGCAUUUCUUACAGUAGGUACUAAGAGUGGCUCGGAUGGCUGUGUGCUAAAAAUCACAUUCAUGUCUAUGGCAGAAGUGAUAUGUUAACUUGGGUUAUUGUCAGCUCUGAGGCAAUCCUCAUAGCUCCUCCUACACUCUCCUUUCUUUUCAACUUUCUGCCAGAUUUAGAAUUAAUUUUGCAUUGUGGGAUGAAAGAACAUAAAACCAUCGUGUUCAGAGAAUGUCAACCGAAACCUUGAUAGAUCUUGACCUGCUUUUCCCUCGUAAAGAAAAGGCCAUAUAGAGUGCUUACAGAUAAUUGGUUUAAAAUAAUCCUAACUUAUUUUUAGUUUUAGGUGAGAAUCCCUGAGUAUUUUAUCAGACUUGACUUGGGGCUAACAUAGGCGGGAAGUAAUAGGAGAGUGGGCCAAAAGCUGAUUCACAGGGAAUGCUAGAAAGAAUGCAUUUAGCGCUUACAGCUAAUGGAUCUCAAGGGAGAAGAUAAACAAAGUUUUUGAGAGAAGCAGCAGUUUUUGUUAUUUAGCGCUGAUGGAGCAUGGGCAUUCUAAUUUGCAUAUUGAAUACCAAGUACUGAAGGAUGGAAGAGAUGUGGCACAGCACAGUAAGAGGAGACUUCUGUCAUUCUUACAUUAGUCUGUGCUUUCAACUAGCUUUGUAACCAUGGGAAAGUGCAAACUCUCUGAGCCUCAAGUUCCUUGUCUGUUAAGUGAGGGCUAGUCUAUAUUAAAAGUUUUAAUGUCUCUGGGACAUUUUAGAAAUCUGUGUGGAUGUUUUCAACUGUCAAAAUGAUUGGGGAAACUCAACUCACAUUUAUAGGGUGGAAACAGAAAUGCCUAACGUCUUAAAAUGGGUCCUGCACAACCAAAAAUUGUCCUUUAUCUGACAUGACAUUUGACUAUCCCAGUGAACAUUUAUAUAGGCAAAACAAAACCUGUUUGUAAUUUUCUGAGCAUAGGAUCUAACUCCUUUCACAUAUCCAACAAAGUAUUUUCUGUAUCACAUUAAGAAAUCAGGUACAAAAUUUAACAGAUGUUAUAUUUUACAGGAUUCCAUAUGUGUAUCUUGGGAGAAAAUUUUAAUUUGUUUUCUUUGGGACUCUCAAAGAGUUGUUCACCAUCCAGGAAAUGAUGUUCCAACAGUGUACUCCUCAUGGAAUUCGAAUAGCUAAUACUCUUGUGCAGUCUGCAUUUGUAGCAGUGGCAGUUAUGGUAAUUUAUGCAGAGCUUAAGUCUGACUACUUUGUUAUAUUUCCCAGUAUAGUUGUACACAAGCAUCUACACUUUUGGAUACAUAUUAUUUUACUUAAAGUUGAUUUGUCAUUCUCCUUUUCAUUACAUUAUGGAAUUAUACAUACCUAUUUGAUAUUGUGUGCAGGUUGGUUAUAUUAUCUUUGAAUUUAAAUUUUGGGAUAAUAAAGGGGUAAUUUCUAAAUAUUUGAUAUAAAAAUAAGUAUUUAGUCUGAUUGGGUUGAGAACCACUGAAUUUAGAUGUCUUCAAAAUUGCUUCUAUUGUCAGCAAACUGUCUCUCUAAAUAAUAUGACUAUAGCACAUGCUUUUUAACCAGUAAGUAUCUAAAUUUAUUUGUCCUAUUAUAGUGGGAAAGGCUAACUUCCAGGAAAAGAUCAAAAGGAUGAUGAGGAAAUGGCCUGGAAUAUGGUGUAAUUAGAAAAUAGUAGAGAGGAGGUUAACAUCUCUUUUUCUUAUAUCUAAUGAAUUUUGAAACUGCUGUGAUGUGCCUGCUACUUGUUACUAAUCACAAUUUAAGAUAAAGUAUUAUAUGAUUACUGAAUCUAUAGUUAAGAAAAAAUGGUUACUUUUUACAAGAGUUUACAUUUCUUGAGCACAUUUCCUGUCAUUGAGUUCACACACAAAUUUAUAAAUUCAUAACAAGUUCAUAAACUUCUAGAUGAAUUACUUUUUUCCCAAUUUUAAAAAUUGUGUUAAUAUACAAAUAACAUAAAAUUUAUCAUAUUAACCGUUUUAAAGUAUGCAGUUUAGUGGUAUUAAAUACAUUUAUAUUGUUGAGCAACCAUCACUACCAUCUGUGUCUGUAAUAAUGCUUUUCGUUUUGUAAAACUGAAUGCUAUACCUAUUAAACAAUAACUAAUUUCCCCUUGCCCCACCCCCUGGCAAACACUAUCCCAUUAUCUAUGAUUUUGACUACUCUACCUCUU
rnacentral:lncRNA from 10 species